rnacentral:rRNA from 1 species
CCUACGGGAGGCAGCAGUAGGGAAUCUUCCGCAAUGGGCGAAAGCCUGACGGAGCAACGCCGCGUGAGUGAUGAAGGUCUUCGGAUCGUAAAACUCUGUUAUUAGGGAAGAACAAAUGUGUAAGUAACUAUGCACGUCUUGACGGUACCUAAUCAGAAAGCCACGGCUAACUACGUGCCAGCAGCCGCGGUAAUACGUAGGUGGCAAGCGUUAUCCGGAAUUAUUGGGCGUAAAGCGCGCGUAGGCGGUUUUUUAAGUCUGAUGUGAAAGCCCACGGCUCAACCGUGGAGGGUCAUUGGAAACUGGAAAACUUGAGUGCAGAAGAGGAAAGUGGAAUUCCAUGUGUAGCGGUGAAAUGCGCAGAGAUAUGGAGGAACACCAGUGGCGAAGGCGACUUUCUGGUCUGUAACUGACGCUGAUGUGCGAAAGCGUGGGGAUCAAACAGGAUUAGAUACCCUGGUAGUCCACGCCGUAAACGAUGAGUGCUAAGUGUUAGGGGGUUUCCGCCCCUUAGUGCUGCAGCUAACGCAUUAAGCACUCCGCCUGGGGAGUACGACCGCAAGGUUGAAACUCAAAGGAAUUGACGGCNGAGAGNGCGAGCGACGACGAGGGAGGAGG